GGACCAAGGAGUCUAGCAUGUGCGCGAGUCAAUAGGACUAGCGAAACCUAAAGGCAAAAUGAAAGUAAAGGGCAGCCUCGCGCUUGCCCAAGGGCGGAUGGACGGCGCUACGACGCCGUCUCGCACGCCAGGGGCGUCCCGAUCUCAUUGCGAGAUGGGGCGCACCCAGAGCGUACAUGCUGGGACCCGAAAGAUGGUGAACUAUGCCUGGUCAGGACGAAGUCAGGGGAAACCCUGAUGGAGGUCCGUAGCGAUUCUGACGUGCAAAUCGAUCGUAGGAACUGGGUAUAGGGGCGAAAGACUAAUCGAACCAUCUAGUAGCUGGUUCCCUCCGAAGUUUCCCUCAGGAUAGCUGGCGCUCGUUUAUUACGAGUCUCAUCCGGUAAAGCGAAUGAUUAGAGGCAUUGGGGUCGAAACGGCCUCAACCUAUUCUCAAACUUUAAAUGGGUGAGAUCUCCGGCUUGCUCGAACGUGAAGCCGCGAGAUUUCGGUCAGAGUGCCAAGUGGGCCACUUUUGGUAAGCAGAACUGGCGCUGUGGGAUGAACCAAACGCCGAGUUAAAGCGCCUAAAUCGACGCUUAUGGGACACCAUGAAAGGCGUUGGUAACUUAAGACAGCAGGACGGUGGUCAUGGAAGUCGAA
rnacentral:rRNA from 1 species